AGUACUUCCUUCCGCGUCUCAAGAGUUAGUUUUUUACAUCUGUAAAUAAAGAUGAACAAAGCAACUGUUUUCAUUCCUCGUCCGGACAUAUUUAAAGACGGAAGAGCAUGUGAGAUGCUUAUAAUGAAGAGGAGUAACACAAUCCACUGUAUCGCUGAUUUACGAUGGCAGUGGAAUGCAGAUUUGGACAAGGCACGACACUAUGAAAGAGUUCCCGUGUUUCCCUUGUGGGCGGAGUUGUGAGACGUGCACAGCUGUUUCCAAUCUUCCUGAUACUACUUAAGCGACACCUUAACAGCUGGAUGACACUCGGCGAUUCCACUCCUCGACUCUCCACAUCAGAUGUUUCCUAUGCUUCCCGAGUUUUUUUAUGCUUACCUUUUUGGCUUUUCCCAGUGCCAUCCAGCUUGGUGUUGUGUGGUAGUUUGCACGUCUUGCAAUUCCAAUCCAAGUCUAGUUAUUUUUGUAUAUUAGCUUUUGUUCUGUUUUCCACGGUGAUCAUUUUGUUUUCUCUCUUUCGCACCGUCGCCUUCUGUUAUCUCCUGUUUGCAAUCAUUGUUGUGAGUACUUUUCCAUAAGUAAAAGAAGUGUUUUACUCACCGUCCGUCUGCAUCCUCGGGUUCCUCUCUACUGCAUUUAAUUGCAUUGUGACAGAGCAUGUACAGUCAACAUAAAAUGCGUGAUUAAUCUGUUUUUAUACAUGACUAAUGUUAUUUAUAGUUUGUGAUUAAUCACGAGUUAACUCGUUGCAUUUGACAGAUCUGAUAAAAACACACAUACAUACAAUUCCAAACAUCAAAAGAGACACACACCUAUGAUUUCAGUAGCAGAAAUUAAAAUGUGUAUUAUUUUGCUGCAUGCUUUGAAUGGGAAAAAGUAGCACUUGUUGACAAAAAAGAUAGCAUUAGUUAAACAACGCCUUUUUUAAAGGAACACAUUGGCUGGUUUUGAGUUUUGUGUUUUCAUUUUAGACUGAAGAAUAUAAAGUAUAUCAAUAAAUAACAAUAUUCAACAUUUCUUUAUGAUCUAAAAUGAUUUAAAAAUAAUACGAAAUUUAUCUGAAACUCUUUAAUGUUUAUAGUGUGUGUUGAUUCAUUGCAUGUAUGUAUUUGUGUGUCACUGCUACAGCUUCCUUCUAUAUGUCCUACUGGGACAGUUUAGCCAGCUCUAUCGCUGUCCAAAGUGUCAAUUUGAAACUGAUCUGUUCUGACUCGGACCCUGUUGCCCUGUGAGCCGCCUGUCAGCUGUCAACUGUCAGAACGU